CCUACGGGAGGCAGCAGUGAGGAAUAUUGGUCAAUGGGCGCGAGCCUGAACCAGCCAAGUCGCGUGAAGGAUGACUGCCCUACGGGUUGUAAACUUCUUUUAUAAAGGAAUAAAGUCAUGCGCGUGUGCCUUUCCGUAUGUACUUUAUGUAUAAGGAUCGGCUAACUCCGUUCCAGCAGCCGCGGUAAUACGGAGGGUCCGAGCGUUGUCUGGAUUUAUUGGGUUUAAAGGGAGCGUAGAUGGGUUGUUAAGUCAGAUGUGAAAGUCUGCGGCUCAACCGUAACAGUGCAAUUGAUACUGGCAGUCUUGAGUACAGAUGAGGUAGGCGGAA
rnacentral:rRNA from 1 species